rnacentral:tRNA from 1 species
GGGCCGGUAGCUCAGCCUGGCUAGAGCACCUGACUUUUAAUCAGGGGGUCGCGAGUUCAAAUCUCGUUCGGCCCA